AUCCAAAGGGUCCAGCAUACAAAUUUAUAAAGAUGUAGGUAAUAGAUUAAUAUUAUUCUUGACAAUAAUUAAGAUUAAAUCGCAUGUCUUAAGAGGCCAGGAAUGUGAAUGUUCAUCAUGUAAUCCUCCCAAUCAAUACUCUUGGAAUCAAAGUCAAAUACACCCAUAUCAAUGCCUCUCCCUUGAGCCACCAUUCGCAACUUGUCUAAAUUUGUGUCACUAAAGCUGUAUAGGGAGAAAAGAACAUUUAAAACAAUUUGAUUAGUGAUUAAAAAAAUUAAAUUGUUAAGCCAAAUGCAAGAAUUUUGAAGUAAUUAAUAAACACAUGUACAUACUUACUUGCCCUUAAAGAAGGCAUAAGGUUUGUAAAAUUCUGCCAACCGCAUUGCAAACUUGAUUUUGCGAUUAAGGUCCAUGUAAACUUGCCUAAAAUACUGGCAACUAAGGAUGUUCACCAAAUACAAUACCUUUACAAAUUAGAAACAUAAAAAAUAAAUUAUAAUAAGAUAUGGGAAUUUAUUAAUAAAUUAUUCUAAAAAAUUUAAAUAAAUAUUUAUUUUUCUAUUACAUAUAAUCAAGUCGUUAUACUAUUAAUUUGAGUCAAAUAGAUCCUUAUAGUUAGAGAGUAACUAACUGCCAUUAAUCAAAGCGUCACACGUUGUUUUAAGCCACAUGAUGCUGACAUGAAAAAUAACAUAUAAUCAUGCCAUCAUAGUAUAUCAAUAUGUUACGUCAGUAUUUGUUAUGAUGCAUGUCUGUGAUGUCAACAUAAUGUAACAUAAAAUUACAUCUAACGUUUAACUAAUGAUAGUUAGUUAACCAUUAGUUCUAAAAUCUUAUUUGGUCCAAAAUAAAAAUUUAAGUGUUUGAUUGAAUACAAAGUAUAAUAAGUUAUUUGAAUUUAUCUAAAUAGUUCAAAGACUCUUUAGAUAAUAUGCCAAAAUAAAAAUUAAGACUGUGACAAACCUUUAAUAGGAACACAUAUUUAAUCCACAUGUAUAGAAAAAUUCCAUUGACCGUGCUCAAGAGUGUUACUUUACGAACUUUAACUCUUUGUCUGUUUCUAUUAAUCCAUGGAUUUCAGUGAAAUAACAAUAUAAAAAUUUUUAGUGAAAAAAUUUUUAGUGAACUUCAACACGUUAUUUUAGUAUGUCAUGUCAUUAACUGUUAUGACAUGUCAGCAUAUUGUGUCAAUACUAUGUGAUAUAAAAAAACAUGUAAUGUUUUAAAUAAUGACAGUUAAUUAACCAUUAGUUCUAUGGACUUAUUUGACCCGAAACAAAAGCAUAACAGUUUGAAUGAAUGCAAUUAGAAAAAAAAUAAUUGAUUUGAAUUUUUUAAAUAGUUCAGAGUCCUUUUAAAUAUUAUGUCAAAAUAAAAAUUAGGAAUGUAACAAACCUUCAAUGGAAACACAUAUUUAGUCCACAUGUAGAGAAAAUAUCCAUUGAUUGUGCUCAACACUGUGAGUUUACGAACUUUAACUCGUUGUCCGUUUCUAUUAGACCAUGGGUUUUCAGUGAAAUAACAGUGUAUAAAUUUGCAAAAAUCCCCGAGUUUUAAAGGAUUUUUCAAUGAGGAGCUAACAUGGUAAAUGGUCUGACAAGAUUGAUUACUUGUGUGAACUGACAUGGCCACGACCAUUGCAUUUACCACCAUGUCUGCAGGUAUCUGCAUAAAUUUUGAAAUUCACGUUUUUCACUUGCAAUUAGACCCAGCUAUAGGAAGAAAAUGGUAUAUGUUAUCCAGAGAUUAAAAAUUCUCACCACAUCGAGGGCAGAGUUAGGAUAGCCAGGAAAACAUGUUAAUUUCCCCUUGCCAUAACUCACAAUGACGCUAUCUAUAGUUCUGUAGUAACACAAAUAUUAAUGAGUCAUUAUUCCAAAUAUACAAUGUUAAUGAAAGCAAUAAAUUGCAUUAAUGAAAUAUAAUAAUAAUCCUAAAUCAAAUACCAUAAAAAUUUGAAGUUACAAUUUGGUCAUGAUAAUUACCUCACACCUUCAAUCCAGCCAGGGAAGGGUUCUUUAUAAGUGCUUGCAAUCAUGGUAGGGCGGAUAAUGACAAAAGGCAAAUCUCCUUUGAAGUUCCCUAAAAGCAUCUCUCCCAUUGCCUUUGUAAACACGUAUGUGUUAGGCCACCCAUACAAUUUUGCCCUGUAUUCAUAAGAAACAAGGUUUACCACUGUUUUCUUUUUACUUUUUUUUUUUAAAUUUAAGAUAUCGUCCAUACAAUUCAAGGUGAAGUGAAAAUGAUGACGGUGAGAGAGAAACCUUUUGAGGCCGAAUUCCUUCAUUUCUGAUUUUAUUACUUCGUUUGGGGCAUGUUGGAAUCGCAAUUCAUCUAAUUUUUCCUCUACAAUUCUCUUCUCUUCAAUAAUGUCUAAUUUACAUGUUUUCAACAAUGUAUCAUCCACGGAAAAUGGUUUUUCUAAUAUAAUUCCUGCUUCUUCACCGCACACGUAGGCUAAAAGAAAAUUAUGAUAAAAAGCAUGAUUGUCAAUCUUAAUUUAUCUCCGAUAUAUGUUCUGAAUGCACUAAAAUUUAACUAUGUAUAUAACAAAUAUCAACCACUAAUUAAUCAAGAACGAUCAAUUAAUUUCAUAUUUACCAGUUGAUGUGUGGAGAAACAGCUUUAUCUUAUCACAUUUCUUCGCAAAGCUCAAAACGUUAAGAGCUCCAAACGUAUUGAUGGCCAAUGCAACAUCAUAGCUUGAAAAAUAAGAGGAAAGAAGAAAAGAAAAGCGGCGAAUUAUAGGCAAAAUUAUGUUCUUAAGACAUACUCCUACAAUUCAAAUAUGAGGAUUCUAAAUUACCUUUCAUUGAAUCCUGUCGUGGCAGCAACAUGUACUACAAUUUCUAUUUCUUUCAACAUUUGUUCCCUUAAUUUUGAUUCAUUCACCCCCAAGUUUUCGGAAGAAAUAUCGCCAGGCACUGCUAUCACCUUGGUUAAUAUAAAGGAAUCAAAUUCCGAACCCCAAUUGUCUCGAAGAAUCGUAAACAAUUCUGUAUCUAUAAUCUACAUAAAAAUUAAGAUGUGUAAGUUUUUUUUUUUUGUGAAUUUGAAAUUGAAUUUUAUAUCACGUGUAACAAAUUGGAUUGAAAUAAAAAUUUUAAUUUCAAAUUUAGUAUGAAUCAUAUGAUAGAACAGUAGUAAUUACGAAUAUGACUUUCAUGAUUAUCGUAAAAUUGUCUGAAUUAUGGAACUUAAAAUUCAUUAUAUACCUCACUAUGCAGGCGUUUUGUGGCAGAUUUAGCAUCUGCAGCCUUCAAAAGAAGAUAGAGCUUAUUCACAUUUGGUUGAAUCCUUAAUAUCUUCUCGACAAAGACUGAAACCGGAGUUCAGAAUUAAAUGAUUAAGUAAAACUAAAAUGAUUAAUUAUAUUGUGUUUUAAAUGAAAUCAUCAUCCUUGGCUUCGUAAGAGAGAGAGAGAGUACUCUUUGCCAAAAAUCCAGUUGCACCAGUGACUAAAAUAGUUUUGCCUUGAAGAAACUUGACAACAUGAUCCAACUCCAUAUUCAUGUCUGAGAACCCAAAAAGAAAUCAAAUAAAAGAAGUAACUUUUUUAUAAUAUUUAUUGGAAUAAAAUUGGGUAAAAUUCAAUAUUUGAUAGAAGAAAAGAUAAGAUAAAUGUAUGCUUCCCAACAUCUAAAUUGCAAUGUUUAAUGAUAAUUUGGAAGUAUUGAAAAUAAUAGUAAUUAAAGUUGAAAAAUAAUAUAACAUGUGGCAUCACCUUGAUUUUGGAAUUUCUUUUCCCCUGUUUUUUUUUUCUCUUGUUCUUUUGCCUGUUCUUCCUCUUCGUCUUUAUGUGAGUUCUAAAAGGUAUUUAUAGGGGAGAACCAGAGCUGUCGAUGGAAGGGGAAAACCCCCAUUUUGGUGCCCUUAGGCCACAGCUUUUGUGCAGUGAAUGAGUUAUGGCAUUGAUAGAGGAGAACCAGAGCUGUUGAUGGUAGUGGAAAACCCCCAUUUUGGUGCCCUUAGGCCAAAGCUAUUGGUGGUCCUAUUUCGUGUAUCAUAUCCCAUCUUAAUUGAAUGUGAAUAUGAUUGUUAACACCUUUAUAAGACUUUAGGUUAAUCACUAUUAGUAAAUUAUGUUUAAACUUUUAAAAAUUAUGUAAUUUAGAUCCGAAAAAUUACUAGACUGGUGAUGUUUGCAUCAGGAUCAUUACACUAUGUGGUUCGGAGUAUGCAUGUUAGAUUACAGCUAACUGAGGGCAGAAGCUGGAAGCAGGAUUAACGACCUAAAUGAGGAAGGCAAAGGAGAGACGUGUCAAGGUCAAGGAUGGAUUAGUAGGAGGGAUACCUUCCAUCUCUGCUCUCCUCAAACACUUAUAUUUGCUUUAAAAUGAUAUGGAAUGUGGACAAAUAAAUAUUUUUUUAGUACAAAAAAAAAAGAAUAGAAGGUAUGUUUGAGAUUUCACUUAAUGACAAUUAAGUGAUUUGGUGUAGCAUUGCUGUAAUGAUCUACAAUAAGGGAUUGAUAAUUUCACACCUAUUGAGGAGAAAUUUAUAUGCUGGUGGAGAAAUUAUCAGUUUGAUUGCUGUUGAUGUUGGGAGGGUUGGAGAGUUUAACUGGUGUUUACAUGGUCUACGGAUGGCCCUUUUGCAAGUUGUACGGAAAUCUUGGUUUUUCCUAACUUGUGGCUUUUGCUGCAACAGUCUUGCUAAUUAAUGCUUGCAAAGCUUCCAUUAGGCAAAUUGCAAUGGAAGCUUCAGGACAAAUUGAUGGAUUCAAAAGGUAAAAAGAAUGAAGGCAACAUCUAAGGUUUUAAAGAAUAUGAGAAUUCUGAAGCUUCAGGGAUGGGAAACGAUGUUCAAUUUGAAUUCAAAAGAAGAAUUUUAAUUUCAUAUUACAAAUUAACAUGAUUUUCAUGAUUAUCAUCAAAUUGUCUGAAUCAUGUUAACGAAGUGCGGAACUUAAAAUUCAUUAUAUAUCUCAGUAUGCAAGCAUUUUGUGAGAGAUUUAAUAUCUGCAGCCCCUACAGAAGACAACUUAUUCACCAUUUGGUUGAAUCCUUAAUUAAUAUUACUCUUUGCCAAAAAUCCAGUUGCACCAGUGAUUAACAUAGUCUUGCCUGGAAGAAACUUGACAACGUUAUCCAACUCUAUAUGCAUGUAUGAGAAUCCAGAAAGAAAUCAAAUUAAAAAAAGUAAUUUAUUUAUUGUAUAUAUUGGAAUAAAAUUGGGUAAAUUUGAAUAAUUUAAUAGAGAAAAGAUCAGAUAUAUAUCCUUCCCAACACUUCACCAAGAAAUUGCAAUGUUUAAUGAUAAUUUGGAAGUAUUGAAAAUAAUAUUAAUUAGUGACUUGAAAAAUAAGAUAACAUGUGGACACCAACUUGAUUUUGGAAUUUCUUUUCCCUUGUUUUUUAUUUUCUUGUUCUUUAACCUGUUUUCCUCAUUUUGCGAAUUUGAGUUUAAGAGGUAUUUAUAGGGGAGAACCUGAGCUGUUGAUGGUUCUUGUCAAAAAUACCUCUCAUACAUAAUGUGCUUUUUUAAAAUAGCUCUCUCUAUAAUUUUAACUAUUUUUAGUCAAGAGAAAUUACUUUUGGACUAAAUUACCUUUAAUGAAACAAACCCAUAUGUUUAGGUCUGCGCCUCAAACUGACUCAUAUCCUUUGAUCUUUCCUCAUCAGACCAUUUAUCUCUGGAGUAUUUCUUACCAGAAAGAAAAACUUUUAAGCAUUUUGAGUAUUUUAGAGUGAUUUUUGAUAUACGUAGAAAACUUUUGAGCGUUUUGAGUAUUUUUAAGCAUUUGGAGUCGUUUUUGAUACAUAAAGAAAAACCUUUGAGCAUUUUAAGCAUUCUUCGACAAGUACGCAUAUUCGUUGAUUAUAUUGUUAAAUAGAAUAUGGUAUAUUAUUUGAAGUUGUUGAUUUUGUUAAAUGAAAUUCAGUAAUUUUGGUGAUUUUUAGGCCUUGGGUAACCGAUAUUUGUGCAUUGCGUGACUAGUUUUUAGGCAUUGCAUUACUAAUUUUUAGGCAUUGCAGGAUUGAUUUUUAAGUAUUAUGUGACUAGUUGAUAUGACAUUACCUAACAGAUUGAUAGACAUUGCGUGACUGGUUAGUAAGGCGUUGCAUAACUAGUUAGGAAGACCUUGUGUGACUUAGGCAUUGCCUAAAAAUCAGUCGCAUAAUACCUAAAAAUCAAUCACACAAUGCCAAAAACCAAUCACGUAAUGCCUGAAUAUUAGAGACGUAAUGAUUAAGGCAUGCAAUGCCUAAAAACUAGUCUUACAAUACCUAAAAGCUAGUAAAGCAAUACCUAAUAACUAAUUGAUUUACUUGCUCGCAGUCAGGUUUAAGUUGCCAAAGUCAUACAGUAUUCUAAUUUUUUUUUUUUAUAAUUGGGGGAGAGGGGAUUCGAACCCUGCUCUUUAAGCAAGGCGAUAAUGCACCAACCAAUGAGCCAAAUGCUCUUGAGUCAUACAAUGUUCUAAUUUAUAGAUAUAUCUAAUCAAUUUCAACCCCCUCAACUAUGGGGUUCUAUGAAUAAAUCAAUAAACCCAAUAACUUAAAACACAUACCUUGAUAUCAUCUCUGCACUUUGGGGUGGCAAGAAAGAGCUGGACGACGAGAUAGACAGUAUUUGCCAAGAGAGAGAAAUCGGGAUUUGAUUUUGAAAUUUUUGUCUGGAUGGUGACAUAAAGAAAACUGAAACCAUUUUAAUUUGUCUGAAAUUAUUUAAAGGGCAUUGUUAUCAAGUCAUGUCAAAAAUUGACUAAAAAUAGUUAAAAUUAUAAUGAAGGAUAUUUUUGAAUUACGUUUAUGAGAAGGAUUAUUUCUCAUAAUUUUCUCUAGUAGAAAACACCCCAUUUUGGUGCCCUUAGGCCACUACUUUUGAGCAAUGAAUGAAGUUAUGGCAACCGAUGGUCCUAUUUCAUGUAAUGGCCUUUCCUUUCUGAAAUUGGGUACUUCAAUCCGAACAUAAAGUUAGGUUUAGUUUCUACCAAAUUUAGGGGCAUGCUAGAGGGAAGCCCCAGCCGAAAGAAUGUGGAGGUGGAUUCCAAUGGGUUUGUUAAGCAGGUGCAGACAUUGCUAUCAGUUUGUCCAGUUUGGCUCUCAGAGUCAAAAAAGGUUGCUCUCUAACAAUCCCUAUCAAGGUCUUAGACUGAACCCCACAAGAAAUAUUUGGUCUUUAAUUACUUGGGGUAAGAAAACAAACAAAAAUUCAGACUAUGAAUUCUUUAUUUUACUUUGAAGCAAAGAUAAAAUGAUGAAGUAUCAACUACACAAAUAAAUGAAGAACUAUCAAAGCAAUAACAUCUGUUAUUGGUCACAACGAAAGUAAUGCAAGUAUUCUCCUUCUUUCCUCAUCCGUUAAGUUGUUCAAAGCUUGAUGCCCACUACUUCGUUUUUUUUUUAAGAUUUGAAGAAGGAGAUUCAAACUUUACUCUUCAAAUAGGAAGAUUAUACAUCAGCUAAUGAAUCAAAUAUUCGUGUGUGCCUUCUAUGUAAAUUUUAUUCAAUUAAUUUUAUUUUUUAAUAAUAAUUAAGAUUUAAUCCAUGUCUUAAGACGCCAGGAAUGUGAAUGUUCAUCAUGUAAUCCUUCCAAUCAAUACUCUUGGAAUCGAAGUCAAAUACACCCAUAUCAAUGCCUCUCCCUUGAGCCACCAUUCGCAACUUGUCUAAAUUUGUGUCACUAAAGCUGUAUAGGGAGAAAAGAACAUUUAAAACAAUU
rnacentral:lncRNA from 1 species